rnacentral:rRNA from 1 species
CUACGGGUGGCAGCAGUGAGGAAUCUUGCGCAAUGGGGGAAACCCUGACGCAGCGACGCCGCGUGGGUGAUGAAGGCCUUCGGGUCGUAAAGCCCUGUCGAGAGGGAAGAAUUGCAUUUAGGUUAAUAGCCUAAUUGUUUGACGGUACCUCCAAAGGAAGCACCGGCUAACUCCGUGCCAGCAGCGCGGUAAUACGGAGGGUGCAAGCGUUGUUCGGAAUCACUGGGCGUAAAGGGCGUGUAGGCGGCUGAGUAAGUCAGGUGUGAAAUCCCUCGGCUCAACCGAGGAAGUGCAUUUGAUACUGCUCAUCUUGAGUACUGGAGAGGGAGAUGGAAUUCCCGGUGUAGAGGUGAAAUUCGUAGAUAUCGGGAGGAACACCAGUGGCGAAGGCGAUCUCCUGGACAGAUACUGACGCUAAGGCGCGAAAGCGUGGGGAGCAAACAGGAUUAGAUACCCCGGUAGUC